UCUCCUGCUGUUAGUGAAAAUGAUGGUCAAGGUGGUGGACGGUAAGUAUCAUUAACUCUUAAUCCUUUGCUGUUAGUGUCAGAUGUACCUGUUCAGAAGACAGUACACAACCUUCAGUGGCAGUGGAAGAAAUGUGGGUUUUUGUGUUGGUUUUUGCCGUUUUCAAAGAGGUAGGAAUAUAUCUUGUGAAGCGCUGUGUGAUUAAGCUGUUACAAGUUUGAUUAAUAAAUUGAUUUUUAGUUGGGCAUUCAAGCCAUGUCAUUUAAUCCAGCCAAGAUGGGUAAGUUUAGCAAGCGUUAAUCAGUGUAAACUAAUCUCAGAGAAUAUAACAGAAUAACACAAAGUUUUUUAAUGAAGACACUCUAAUUUUUUCUCUCAUUCGUCUUCUAAUUGUAUGAUCGCAAGGGUUUGACCUUUCCGGAUUCGAGUGAAAUUGGGGGUGAUUUUUUAUACGAGACGGUGGUCCCCAACUGCCAAAAUCACACGUACUGUGAACACUUGGACCGCUACCCUAACGAACUAUUUUCCAAAAUAUUAAAAAGCCGCGAAAAGGAGUUUUCUCGGUACUUUCAGAGUAUGGCAGUAAUAGAGCCCAUUAUGAGUAGGAACCAAGACACUUCCUGUAUUUGUGCAUCACGCAAAAGUAUUAUAUACCCAAAAGCGGCAUAUAAUAUAAAAAAUAAUCUGAAAUUUAUCUACAACUUCGAUGGAUACAAACAAGGAGUGUCCGUAGAGGUCUGCGUGAUGUAAGUUUUUUAAAUUUUAUUGUGAAUAAGGACGGACUUUAGUACGUGUUUUAGAAAAAAUCAAAUGUGCAAAUUUUACGAGAAGGUGAGAAAGUUAAAAACAAGGUGUCGACAAAAGUUCGUCGAAAAAUUGUUACUGACGGCUGAUGAAAAUGGAAGACCGUACGCUGAUAGGUACAGAUUUCCAUCAGCUUGUGUCUGUUCGUACAAGAUAAUUAGCUCUAAUGUGUUUUUUACUUAAAGUUGGGGUAAGUUUCGUAAUUUAAAUUUUGUUUCACCUACUAACUCAUUUUUAGUAACUGCAGAGUAAUACAUUUACUUUGUGGAGAAGUGAACUGAGACGAUUUUAUCCCUGUAAUUAUCGCAGUAUUAGGUGGAAGAAAACGAUAGGUAUUAAUCACAAUUUAGUGAAUCCCAGCUAAUAAUUCUUGAAAAGUAAUUACGUGUGAUUUGUGUGAUUAUGACGAAUUGUAGGUACGUAAGUUAUUGUGGACUAAUGUGUGUUUUUAUAAUUAAAUUUUAGCAAUUUUAGUCCGGACGUUAGUCAAGUUUUUAUUUAUUGUUACAAGCUUUACCAGUGUCUGAAACUGUUUAAGCAUUUUAUGAAAUAUUAUGUUAGAACUAGCUUAAGCAUUAAAAAUGUACAAACAGACGAAAAGUAUUGUAGUAUUGUAAAUUUAUGUGUACUAUAAACUGUAAUUAAUAAAGCUGUUGAUGUUCGAAUGAACUUAUUUUAUGUGGGAAAAUGAAUAAAAUUUGUUGCAAACAGGAAAGCUAUUAAUAACUGAAACUUAAAUGAAUUUCCUUCAGUUUUGUUUGAGGAACGGUGUGGUCUGAUGUGCGUCCGUGAUGCUGAGUUAUUUGUAUUUGAAAUAAGAAGCCUCUAAUUUAAUAGUAAUAGGUGAGUUGGUUAAAUUCAACCAAAACGUAGUGUGGGCUCUUCUUGCACCUUUAUUGUAACAAAAAAUUUCCACAUAUCUCACUCUUAAUACUUUAAUUAAUUGCUGUUGUGGCACAAACCAAUUGUUAGAUAUAGUAUUUAAAUAAUGCUUGAGGAAAUAAGAAUUUUGUUAAAUUUUGUCCUGCAACGGUUUGUUAAAUCUUACAUUGUGCGUGCAGAAAUCUUCAAGUCGAAAAAACGAUCUUAUGUUGAUUUAAAGAGUUUAUAGCUGCAAAAUAUACAUUUCUUCGAUUUAUUGCUUGACUUGUUAUUUCUGGAGGAAAGUGACGGCAAAAGCAAAUAGCAUUGAUACAAACCAUUUUUUAUUUGUUAACAGAUUCAAGUUUGGUACAAGCUUGGGUGUAAAAUAAAUUUUUCUAUAAGUUUAGUAGUAAAUUAAUUAACUAGUGGCAUACUAAAACCAAAUAAAUACGGUUAUUUAUUAUGUAUUGCUUUUAUUUUAAGAAAACCUAAAGCAAUUUCAGUUACAACUUUAAAUACUUUAUUCGCGGUAAAUAUUAUAUUAAAUCAACAGGUGUAAUAAAAUCGCUGAAUUUGAAUGAACCAUUGUUUUUGAUGUUGCUGUUGCAGACUGUUUAUUGAAUGUUACUUUGAAGUAAUUACAUAAAUUAGAUUCAUUGGGCAUUAAUUAUAUGAUAUUUGAAUGGACACUAAUUAAAUUCACUGAGUCAGUAUAGGGAGAAUAAAAACGUUUCUGAAAUAUUUGUCUGAAUGAAAUUAAAUCGAUUAAAUAUUUGCGUAUCAAUCAAGCCAGGGAUCGCGUUUAUUUUUAAGGAGUUUUAAAAAUUCUGACGCAUCUUCUCUGUUAUGCUUUACACAGUUUCGUGGAUCUUCCUUGAAGGAGAUUGAUGUGGCCAGUGAAAUCCAUCUCUGCGUCACUUCUUAGCGCAAACCCUUUACAAUUUGUUGGAAGUUAAACUGAUCCUGCAAGCUACAGAUACCUCCCUUGAAUAACUUUAGGAAAAUGCGACUUUCUCUCAGAUUUUCUUUAAUUAGCAGAUUACAUAGUUUAUGAACGUGAUGUAAUCAUGGCCAGAAGUUCCAACAGUGGAGCCGUUCCAUCUAUAAUUAUGUAAAAUCGAUGCUUUGGGAUGAUUACCAACUCUAGGGUACCUUAAAUGGCAUUGUUAGAGCGAAAAAGCGGUUAAUUGCUUUUAAAUGAAACCGUAAAAGGAGGAAAAAUGUUCCUGGCCCUAAAGACAGGUUUAAACGCGGCAUAAAACUUGAAUGAACGUUACUUAAAUACUUACCAAAUGCAUUCUAAUUUCAUUUGAAUUUUUAAAUAUUUACUCCGAAUUUCAAAACUAUAUUUUUCUUGUGGCGAUAGGUAAGUUAUCCAGAUGCUCGUUAUAAACAAAAUCUGUGUCAUAUUCGUUUUAUAGCUAUCCUACUAACAUUCAUUGUUAAAAUAUUGUUUCAGUUUGAAUAGGUACAGCUGUAAUUGUAGUCGAGUUUUGGUAAACAAAAUGAGCAAAGUAAACACGCAGUUUUUAUUUAAAAAAUGCUGUAAAAAUAAAAUCGCAAUUUAUUCCUGGAUUAAGUGCUCAGUAUUUUUAGAUACUCCAAUAAUAAUAUAACUAAAUCAACUUUCUAAGUAGAUAACGAAUGGGGGGACAACACAACACAACCUUGACCUUGAGUUUGACCCCGCCCAUUUUCCCUCUCUUUUUUUUCAAGGUCACUCGUUCUCUCUCUCUCUUACUUUUUCAAGGCCAACCCCUCCACUUCCCCCACCACUUCAAGGCCAAGGCAUUAUUGGACCUUGAUGUUUUCAAGGUCAAGGCCAUUCAUGUUACUCCCCACUUUUGCAAGGCCAACAACUCCUCACUCAUUCAAGAUGAAUCGCGCAAUUGUCCUUACUCAUUUUCCACCCCAAACUGUAUAAAAGUUAAUGUGUUGUGUUGUGUAACACAGUUCUUGUGUAUAUCUACAAUAACAAGCAAUUCUUAAAAAAUGGAACCCAUCAGAAAAAGUUCUAUUUUUAAUACUCCUGAGGAUAUCAUAGUUUGUCCAUACGACAAAAACCACAUUCUUCUUUGGUUUCGGCUCGAAAGGCACAUUUGGAAGUGCCAUCGGGCCGAUAAAGAAAAGCAAAGGGCCUCAAGUAAAGUGAUGGUGCAAGAAGAAGAGGAGAACUGGGAUCAUUUUAAUGAGCCCAGCUACCUCGACUUCCUGAGGAGUAAAAAGAAUCAUAAUGCCUUAAAUUAAAGAAGGCCGGGGUUCUUUCGUAGAGAAUAGUGUAGUUUAGCUAAGUAGUAGUCGUAGUAAAAUAUAAAUAUUAUAUUAU